rnacentral:rRNA from 1 species
GACGAACGCUGGCGGCGUGCUUAACACAUGCAAGUCGAGCGGUAAGGCUCCUUCGGGAGUACACGAGCGGCGAACGGGUGAGUAACACGUGAGCAACCUGCCCUUCUCAUCGGAAUAAGCGUUGGAAACGACGUCUAAUGCCGAAUAUGACCUCCUUUCGCAUGAUCGGAGGUGGAAAGCUCCGGCGGAGAAGGAUGGGCUCGCGGCCUAUCAGCUUGUUGGUGGGGUAACGGCCCACCAAGGCGACGACGGGUAGCCGGCCUGAGAGGGUGACCGGCCACACUGGGACUGAGACACGGCCCAGACUCCUACGGGAGGCAGCAGUGGGGAAUAUUGGACAAUGGGCGAAAGCCUGAUCCAGCAACGCCGCGUGAGGGAUGACGGCCUUCGGGUUGUAAACCUCUUUCAGCAGGGACGAAGCGAAAGUGACGGUACCUGCAGAAGAAGGACCGGCCAACUACGUGCCAGCCGCCGCAGUAAUAC